UAACCAUGGUAGGGGCAAAGGGCUUGCAAUUCUUUGUACCUUUCCCACGCUUGAUAUAAAUUUUCACUAUCUUUUUCGACAAAUGAAGAGAUUUGCUUCUUAAAGGCA
rnacentral:snoRNA from 1 species